rnacentral:tRNA from 1 species
UGGUGGUUAGUUUAAAGUAAACCCCCUAAUUUCGACUUAGAAAAUCCCACCACGGGGCCACCAA